rnacentral:rRNA from 1 species
GUAUCUGAAAGGGCCAUUUCAGUGAAGACGAGUAGGGCGGGGCACGUGAAACCCUGUCUGAACAUGGGGGGACCAUCCUCCAAGGCUAAAUACUACUGACCGACCGAUAGUGAACCAGUACCGUGAGGGAAAGGCGAAAAGAACCCCGGAGAGGGGAGUGAAAUAGAACCUGAAACCGUGUGCGUACAAGCAGUAGGAGCUCCGCAAGGAGUGACUGCGUACCUUUUGUAUAAUGGGUCAGCGACUUACUGUUCGUGGCAAGCUUAACCGUAUAGGGGAGGCGAAGGGAAACCGAGUCUGAUAAGGGCGCAUAGUCGCGGGCAGUAGACCCGAAACCGGGUGAUCUAGUCAUGCCCAGGGUGAAGGUGCGGUAACACGCACUGGAGGCCCGAACCCACUCCCGUUGCAAAGGUAGGGGAUGAGGUGUGAUUAGGAGUGAAAAGCUAAUCGAACCCGGAGAUAGCUGGUUCUCCUCGAAAGCUAUUUAGGUAGCGCCUCAUAUGUAUCCUCUCGGGGGUAGAGCACUGUUAUGGCUAGGGGGUCAUCGCGACUUACCAAACCAUUGCAAACUCCGAAUACCGAGACGGACUGUAUGGGAGACACACGGCGGGUGCUAACGUCCGUCGUGAAAAGGGAAACAACCCAGACCCACAGCUAAGGUCCCAAAUUCACUGCUAAGUGGAAAACCAUGUGGAAAGGCACAGACAGCCAGGAGGUUGGCUUAGAAGCAGCCACCCUUUAAAGAAAGCGUAAUAGCUCACUGGUCGAGUCGGUCUGCGGGGAAGAUUUAACGGGGCUAAGCAGUGAACCGAAGCUUGGGGUGCAUAACUUUGUUAUGCGCGGUAGAGGAGCGUUCCGUAAGCCGUUGAAGGUGGAUUGAGAAGUCUGCUGGAGGUAUCGGAAGUGCGAAUGCUGACAUGAGUAACGAUAAUGCGGGUGAAAAACCCGCACGCCGAAAGCCCAAGGUUUCCUUGCGCAACGUUAAUCGGCGCAGGGUGAGUCGGCCCCUAAGGCGAGGACGAAAGUCGUAGUCGAUGGGAAGCAGGUUAAUAUUCCUGCACCUCGCGUAAGUGCGAUGGAGGGACGGAGAAGGUUAGGUGUACCAGGCGUUGGUUGUCCUGGGGAAAGGCGGUAGGUUUGGAUCUUUGGCAAAUCCGGGAUCCUUUAAGACCGAGCACCGAGACGAGCCUUUAUGGCGAAGUCACUGAUACCACGCUUCCAGGAAAAGCUCCUAAGCUUCAGCUUACGCAGACCGUACCGUAAACCGACACAGGUGGGUAGGAUGAGAAUUCUCAGGCGCUUGAGAGAACUCGGGUGAAGGAACUAGGCAACAUGGCACCGUAACUUCGGGAGAAGGUGCACCCUUUUUGGUGGCUCGUGCGAGCUAUAGCUGAAGAGGGUCGCAGUAACCAGGCCGCUGCGACUGUUUAUCAAAAACACAGCACUCUGCAAACACGAAAGUGGACGUAUAGGGUGUGACGCCUGCCCGGUGCUGGAAGGUUAAUUGAUGGGGUCAGCCGCAAGGCGAAGCUCUUGAUCGAAGCCCCAGUAAACGGCGGCCGUAACUAUAACGGUCCUAAGGUAGCGAAAUUCCUUGUCGGGUAAGUUCCGACCUGCACGAAUGGCGUAACGACAGCGGCGCUGUCUCCACCCGAGACUCAGUGAAAUUGAAAUCGCUGUGAAGAUGCAGCGUUCCCGUGGCAAGACGGAAAGACCCCGUGAACCUUUACUAUAGCUUUACACUGAACGUUGAGUUCGUCUGUGUAGGAUAGGUGGGAGGCUAUGAAACUGUGGCGCUAGCUGCAGUGGAGCCAUCCUUGAAAUACCACCCUGUCGUGCUUGACGUUCUAACCUGGGCCCAUUAUCUGGGUCGGGGACCGUGUAUGGUGGGUAGUUUGACUGGGGCGGUCUCCUCCUAAAGAGUAACGGAGGAGCUCGAAGGUACGCUCAGCGCGGUCGGACAUCGCGCACUGUGUGCAAAGGCAUAAGCGUGCUUGACUGCAAGAUCGACGGAUCAAGCAGGUAGGAAACUAGGACUUAGUGAUCCGGUGGUUCUGUAUGGAAGGGCCAUCGCUCAACGGAUAAAAGGUACUCCGGGGAUAACAGGCUGAUACCGCCCAAGAGUUCAUAUCGACGGCGGUGUUUGGCACCUCGAUGUCGGCUCAUCACAUCCUGGGGCUGUAGUCGGUCCCAAGGGUAUGGCUGUUCGCCAUUUAAAGUGGUACGCGAGCUGGGUUCAGAACGUCGUGAGACAGUUCGGUCCCUAUCUGCCAUGGGCGUUGGAGAUUUGAGAGGGGCUGCUCCUAGUACGAGAGGACCGGAGUGGACGAACCUCUGGUGUUCCGGUUGUCACGCCAGUGGCAUUGCCGGGUAGCUAUGUUCGGAAGCGAUAACCGCUGAAAGCAUCUAAGCGGGAAGCGCGCCUCAAGAUGAGAUCUCCCGGGGCACAAGCCCCCUGAAGGAACCAUGUAGACUACGUGGUUGAUAGGUCAGGUGUGUAAGUACAGCAAUGUAUUGAGCUAACUGAUACUAAUGAUCCGAGAGGCUUGACCAU